ACCCUCCCCUAUGGAGCUCCAGAGAAGGGAUUCGCUCACUCCACCGCGGGAGGAGGAAAGGGAGCUACCUAGCAGCAAGGGUUGUGUAGAGGACCUGUGGACUUGACAGCCUCUUAAACAAACUAACACGGAAGGAGUACCAUAGAGACCAUAACAAACAAGGGGGGGGGAAAGCAACCCUCAGAGGAAAAAGAAACCACACGAUUCCAAAAGAUACACGGGGCACUUGAGCUCAGCCUUGAGAGCCUCUGAUGACUGUCCUGGAGAGGUUCUCAACCACAAUCUUGGCAGCCGGUGGAGGCAGGUGGUGGUCCCAAUCUACUACCAACCCCAAGUCUUCAAAGUCCAUCCUAUUCAAAAGUGACCUUACGAGCUCCAGCACCAUGUUGGUUCGAGUCUCCUGCUUGAGGGUCCAACGGCUCACAGUCGUGUUCAUCGAUAUAGGACGCCAUGGCUGCCCAGCCGUCUGACAUGUGAUGUUUUGAUACAGGUAUACAAUGUGUAACUAUCAAAUCCGAGUAACUGGGGUAUUGAUCAUCUUGAGAAUUUAUCAUUUCUUUGUGUUAGGAACAGUCCAAUUCCACUCUUUUAGUUAUUUUAAAAUAUGCAAUAAAUUAUUAAC
rnacentral:lncRNA from 1 species